AAUUAAGCACUUUGGGUUCCCAAAGCCAUUAAAUCUCAUUUCCUGGGAGAAAGAAUAACUGUCUUUUCUGUCUCCUGUGCCUGUUUCAUUUUCACAGUUUCAGUGCAUCUAAGAUCUAACAUGUCAGAUGAUCAGUGUCUUUCUUCAGUUUCCUACAGAGUGGCUGUGCUUGAGACAGGUGUCCAGGAGAGAUUGUGUGGGGAUGCACUGGAGGGAUCUGACCUUGGAGGUUGCAUUUCAGAUUCUCCUGAUGGCUAGGGAGACAGUUCUAGGGGUCUUGUAGGCAUAACUCUGUACUUACUCACUAAAAAGUAAACUAGAAGUUCAAGUCUUCCUUCCUUCCUGAGAGACAGUGUUUGUUGAAAUACUGA
rnacentral:lncRNA from 1 species